UUUUUUUUUUCUUCCUUUACUUUGAUUUCCUUUCUCUCUGUUUUGGAGAAGCAGAGAGCUUCGUCCUCUCUCUCUCUCUCUCUCUCUCUCUCUCUCUCUCUCUCUCUCUCUCUCUUUCUUGCUCUCUCAAAUUUUUUUUAGGUUUAUCACACGACCUUUUUGAACCACCAAAAUCUAUUAGGUUUUAGAUUCUAGUUCUUGAGACCAAAGUGAAGAGCUUGGCAAGAGCAAUGUUUUGAUUGGUGGAGAUUGAAAUCUAACAACGCCAAAAUUUGGGAUUUCUGCUUCUUCUUCCUUCUAGCUAUUGAGGUGAUUGCAAUGUGCCUCUGCUGAAGUGAAGGCAAGGAGGAACUUUUGGAGCACGACGCUUGGUUUUAUUUGUUUUCUUUUUGUAAGCCAAGGGCUAUUUGUGUUUGGGUGUGGACACCACUUUUGUGUAACCGGGCAAGGCCUUGGAAGCUGUAGCCAAUAGGGCAUUGUUUGGUACUUAGCUUACUUUAAAUUUCUAUCAUCACAUGCCAUAGAUUCAUAUGUUAGAAAUAGUGAAUGUAUGAAUGCAUGUGAUUUGUUUUGUGAAUCUUACUAGAAAGUCAUGAAUAGAAAAGAAGGGGGUUUUUGGUCCUUACAUUAAUAAAUGUAAUUCUUUUUAUUC